UACAGGGGGUGCAAACGUUGCUCGGAAUUAUUGGGCGUAAAGCGCGCGUAGGCGGUGACUCAAGUCGGAUGUGAAAGCCCUUGGCUUAACCGAGGAAGUGCAUCCGAAACUGAGUCGCUAGAGUACGAUAGAGGGUCGCGGAAUUCCCGGUGUAGAGGUGAAAUUCGUAGAUAUCGGGAGGAACACCGGUGGCGAAGGCGGCGACCUGGGUCGAUACUGACGCUGAGGCGCGAAAGCCAGGGGAGCAAACGGG
rnacentral:rRNA from 1 species